rnacentral:rRNA from 1 species
CAGUCGCCGCGGUAAUACGGAGGGUGCAAGCGUUAAUCGGAAUUACUGGGCGUAAAGCGCACGUAGGCGGACUUUUAAGUCAGGGGUGAAAUCCCGGGGCUCAACCCCGGAACUGCCUUUGAUACUGGAAGUCUUGAGUAUGGUAGAGGUGAGUGGAAUUCCGAGUGUAGAGGUGAAAUUCGUAGAUAUUCGGAGGAACACCAGUGGCGAAGGCGGCUCACUGGACCAUUACUGACGCUGAGGUGCGAAAGCGUGGGGAGCAAACAGGAUUAGAUACCCGCGUAGUCCCUGUCUCUUAUAC